rfam:Branchiostoma floridae genomic scaffold BRAFLscaffold_113, whole genome shotgun sequence.
GUGUGUUUGCGUGUGGAUGGUGUUUAGCACCAAGGACAGGCAUGCUUGGGUGGAUGUGGAUGGCGUUCAACACCAGAGACAAGUGUGUUUGUUU